GAGGGUAUAGCUCAGUGGGACAGUGUGUGCUUAACAUGCACAAGGUCCUAGGUUCAGUCCCCAGUAUCUUCA
rnacentral:tRNA from 1 species